rnacentral:rRNA from 1 species
GUUGACCUCGGAUCAGGUAGGGAUACCCGCUGAACUUAAGCAUAUCAAUAAGCGGAGGAAAAGAAACCAACAGGGAUUGCCCUAGUAACGGCGAGUGAAGCGGCAACAGCUCAAAUUUGAAAUCUGGCGCAAGCCCGAGUUGUAAUUUGUAGAGGAUGCUUCUGGGUAGCGGCCGGUCUAAGUUCCUUGGAACAGGACGUCACAGAGGGUGAGAAUCCCGUAUGUGAUCGGCCCGCGCCCUCUACGUAGCUCCUUCGACGAGUCGAGUUGUUUGGGAAUGCAGCUCUAAAUGGGAGGUAAAUUUCUUCUAAAGCUAAAUACCGGCCAGAGACCGAUAGCGCACAAGUAGAGUGAUCGAAAGAUGAAAAGCACUUUGGAAAGAGAGUUAAACAGCACGUGAAAUUGUUGAAAGGGAAGCGCUUGCAACCAGACUUGACGGCGGUGUUCCCCCGGGCUUCUGCCCGGGUUAUUCACCGUCUUCAGGCCAUCAUCGUCUGGGGCCGCCGGAGAAACCGUCAGGAAUGUGGCUCCCUCGGGAGUGUUAUAGCCUGUCGACAUGCGGCGUGCCCCGGGCGAGGUCCGCGCUUAGGCAAGGAUGAUGGCGUAAUGGUUGUCAGCGGCCCGUCUUGAAACACGGACCAAGGAGUCUAACAUCUAUGCGAGUGUUCGGGUGUCAAACCCCUACGCGUAAUGAAAGUGAACGGAGGUGGGAGCUUCGGCGCACCAUCGACCGAUCCUGAUGUCCUCGGAUGGAUUUGAGUAAGAGCAUAGCUGUUGGGACCCGAAAGAUGGUGAACUAUGCCUGAAUAGGGUGAAGCCAGAGGAAACUCUGGUGGAGGCUCGCAGCGGUUCUGACGUGCAAAUCGAUCGUCAAAUUUGGGUAUAGGGGCGAAAGACUAAUCGAACCAUCUAGUAGCUGGUUCCUGCCG